CUCUUAUUACGAGUAGGCUGAGGGAAUUGGCCCUAUGACGCCCAGCAACCGACCUUUCUUUUAUAAUUGAUGAUUUAAACUAAUCAAUGGCACGGUGCUACAUCCAACAGACUUUGUCUGAGAGAUAAGAG
rnacentral:ncRNA from 2 species